rnacentral:tRNA from 11 species
GGCCCAGUGGUCAAGAUACCAGACUGACAACCUGGCGGUCGCAGGUUCGAGUCCGGGCUG